GGGCCGUUAGCUCAGCCUGGCUAGAGCGCUUGACUUUUAAUCAAGAGGUCGCGAGUUCGAAUCUCGUACGGCCCG
rnacentral:tRNA from 1 species